AUCGCUUCUCGGCCUUUUGGCUAAGAUCAAGUGUAGUAUCUGUUCUUAUCAGUUUAAUAUCUGAUACGUCCUCUAUCCGAGGACAAUAUAUUAAAUGGAUUUUUGGAGCCGGGAGUUGGAAUAGGAGCUUGCUCCGUCCACUCCGCGCAUCGACCCGGUAUUGCAGUACCUCUGGGCACGGUGCACCCCCU
ensembl:snRNA U2 U2 spliceosomal RNA